GAUGAAGAACGCAGCGAAAUGCGAUACGUAAUGUGAAUUGCAGAAUUCAGUGAAUCAUCGAAUCUUUGAACGCAUAUUGCGCUCUCUGGUAUUCCGGAGAGCAUGCUUGUUUGAGUAUCAGUAAACACCUCAACUCCCUCUUCUUUUUUGAAAUUGGAGCUGGACUUGAGUGAUCCCAACGCUUUCUUCCAAGAAAGUGGCGGGUUGCUUGAAAUGCAGGUGCAGCUGAACUUUUCUCUGAGCUAUAAGCAUAUCUAUUUAGUCUGCCUAAAAAACAGAUUAUUACCUUUGCUGCAGCUAACAUAAAGGAGACUAGUUCUUGUGCUGACUGAUGCAGGAUUCACAGAGACAGCUUCGGCUGACUUUGUAAACUCGAUCUCAAAUCAAGUAAGACUACCCGCUGAACUUAAGCAUAUCAAUAAGCGGAGGA
rnacentral:misc_RNA from 1 species